UACGUAGGGCGCGAGCGUUGUCCGGAUUUAUUGGGCGUAAAGAGCUCGUAGGCGGCUUGUCGCGUCGACCGUGAAAACUCGCAGCUCAACUGCGAGCCUGCGGUCGAUACGGGCAGGCUAGAGUUCGGUAGGGGAGACUGGAAUUCCUGGUGUAGCGGUGAAAUGCGCAGAUAUCAGGAGGAACACCAGCGGCGAAGGCGGCGCUCUGGGCCGGUACUGACGCUGAGGAGCGAAAGCGUGGGUAGCAAACGGG
rnacentral:rRNA from 1 species